GACGAACGCUGGCGGCGUGCUUAACACAUGCAAGUCGAACGGAAAGGCCCUGCUUUUGUGGGGUGCUCGAGUGGCGAACGGGUGAGUAACACGUGAGUAACCUGCCCUUGACUUUGGGAUAACUUCAGGAAACUGGGGCUAAUACCGGAUAGGAGCUCCUGCUGCGUGGUGGGGGUUGGAAAGUUUCGGCGGUUGGGGAUGGACUCGCGGCUUAUCAGCUUGUUGGUGGGGUAGUGGCUUACCAAGGCUUUGACGGGUAGCCGGCCUGAGAGGGUGACCGGCCACAUUGGGACUGAGAUACGGCCCAGACUCCUACGGGAGGCAGCAGUGGGGAAUAUUGCACAAUGGGCGGAAGCCCGAUGCAGCAACGCCGCGUGCGGGAUGACGGCCUUCGGGUUGUAAACCGCUUUCGCCUGUGACGAAGCGUGAGUGACGGUAAUGGGUAAAGAAGCACCGGCUAACUACGUG
rnacentral:rRNA from 1 species